CACCAGUGUUGUCAAUAGCAUCAAUGAUCUUUGGCUUCAGGUCAAUGAUGUUACGUAUCUUUGUUCGAUUAACAAUAUCUUUAACAUAACUCCACAGAAAGAAAUCCAUGGGAGUGAUAUCUGGU